rnacentral:rRNA from 1 species
UACGUAGGGGGCAAGCGUUGUCCGGAUUUAUUGGGCGUAAAGAGCGUGUAGGCGGCCUGGCAAGUCCGCUGUGAAAACUCGAGGCUUAACCUCGAGACGUCGGUGGAAACUGCCUGGCUAGAGUCCGGAAGAGGAGAGUGGAAUUCCUGGUGUAGCGGUGAAGUGCGCAGAUAUCAGGAAGAACACCCGUGGCUAAGGCGGCUCUCUAGUACGGUACUGACGCUGAGACGCGAAAGCGUGGGGAGCGAACAGG